rnacentral:lncRNA from 1 species
CAGCAUUUUCAGCAAGGGCAUUCUAUGGCCAGUGUAAUAAAACACGACCUGCUUUAAACCUAAUAAAACACGACCUUUAAAGCCACUGCACGUGACAUAUUAUGGUUGACAUGAUUUGCCAAUAAGCUUAUGAAUUAUUAAAGAGUGUUUGAAGUACGUAUAGCUUCAAAAAUGACUACAAUAGAUGCAGUCUCAUUAGUAUUCUUUAUAUAAAGAAUACUAAUUAGGAUGGGCUUUUAUAUAAAGAAUACUAAUGAUACGAGUCAGGGACGCAGGAACUGGAGGGACA